rnacentral:rRNA from 1 species
UACGUAGGGGGCAAGCGUUGUCCGGAUUUACUGGGCGUAAAGCGCGCGUAGGCGGAGGCGUAAGUGUGGCCUGAAAGCCCCCGGCUCAACCGGGGAGGGCGGCUGCAAACUGCGCCUCUUGAGGGAUGCAGAGGAGACUGGAAUUCCCGGUGUAGCGGUGAAAUGUGUAGAGAUCGGGAGGAACACCGGUGGCGAAGGCGGGUCUCUGGGCAUUUCCUGACGCUGAGGCGCGAAAGCGUGGGGAGCAAACGGG